rnacentral:miRNA from 1 species
UAUUGGGUUGGCCAAGAAGUUCAUUUGGGUUUUUCAUAAGAUGUUAUGGGAAAACUCAAAUGACCUUUUUGGCCAAUCCAGU